rnacentral:ncRNA from 1 species
CAUUGGUGAGAAUUCAAUGCCCCGAAAACCUAAGGGUUCCUCCGCAAGGUUCGUCCAUGGAGGGUGAGUCAGGGCUUAAGAUUAGGCCGAAAGGCGUAGUCAAUGGGCAACAGGUGAAUAUUCUUGUAUUACCCCUUGUUAGUCACAUUAAGGUUUAAUUUCAUAUCUUAUUCAACCUCUAAUUCAAUUUCUACAAUUUUUGGUGAUUUGUCAAAGUCA